CUUCUUUCCAUGGGUUGUGUUUUCUGUGUAUUUUUCUUUGGGUUGGACCAAAACAAGUCAAUGUGCAGUUAUUAAGCUCCUGCUGUGUGCCCCUCGGGGCUUGAGGAUACAUAACUCUCUUUGUCUCCCCCAGAACACUCCGAGUCUGCACUGGACCGUUCUCAGAGCGCUGUCCUGACUGCCAUGUCUUUGGAUGCUAGCCCUAAUCUUGUGAGGCAGGCCUGAGUCAGUUCCUGUGACAGGAAGCCUUUGGAGAGUGUGACUUGAACUUGGCGGGCUCUCACCCCAAAUCCAGCCUAGGAAGGCUGACCAGAGGGGCCUGCUCCUUCCCCAGCCAGAUGGACGCCGUCUGCCUCCCGCCCAAGUUCAGACGGUCUAGCAAGAUGCAUUGAACUCAGGGCGGGUGUGUGCCAGGAGGCCGAGGAGGAACGCUCAGCUCUCCAGCUUCUAUCUGCUGCCUUUCUGCCACUCAAGCUAUCUUUCUUUGGGGUUAAAGCAGGGUCCUCCUUUAAGUUGCAAAUUUUCUUAGAGAGGAGGCCGACAGGAAGAGGGGCUGGGUACUCUGGAAGGCUGAGGUGGCAGGAGAGGGAAGAGUAGGGUCCAGCUGACCCCACAAAGGCAGGCCAAUCAGAGCCACCCAGCAUUGCACACGCCCGGGCACGCACACCAGCACACUCACCACCGUCCAUCGACAACCCAGUCAUUUCCCCAGGUGAAUGGGCUGCCUCCACUCCCCUCUUCCUGCUGUCUCUGCUUUUUGGAGAGUGUCUGGCUGCCUCCACGGGGUGGCCGGGGACGAGGUGCG
rnacentral:lncRNA from 10 species